rnacentral:rRNA from 1 species
GACAGAGGAUGCAAGCGUUAUCCGGAAUGAUUGGGCGUAAAGCGUCUGUAGGUGGCUUUUUAAGUCCGCCGUCAAAUCCCAGGGCUCAACCCUGGACAGGCGGUGGAAACUACCAAGCUGGAGUACGGUAGGGGCAGAGGGAAUUUCCGGUGGAGCGGUGAAAUGCGCAGAUAUCGGGAGGAACACCGGUGGCGAAGGCGGUUCUCUGGGCCUGUACUGACGCUGAGGAGCGAAAGCGUGGGGAGUGAACAGG